UCUACAUGGACAUGGUAAAUAUCCUUCCUUAUAUAAACCAUGACAUUUUCGUAAACCAUAUUGAACAAACGCCGUGAGACCAUCUCUGAAUUCUUGGCUACAGGGGCUCAAACUUAACCAAGUCUUAUCAGGUACGCGGAUUUCUGACAUUCAACUGAAAUACAUACAAUUAUAAUUGAUUAAUAACCAAUUAUUGAAAAACUAACUAACAAUCACACUUAUACAAAAUCUGAUUGUUACUUUUUUAUAAUUAUUAAUUAAUUAAAUAAUUAUUUAAAUUUAAUUAAAUAAUUAUUUAUUUAAUUAUUAAUUAAAUAAAUGAUUUUAAUUUUUAAAUAAUUAUUUUCAACAUUGGAUUUUAAAUCAAGUUCUUAAUAUAAAAACUGAUUUAUGGAUUUUCCAAUAUUUUCUUAAUUAAUUAUUAAUUAUUAGUUAAUUAAAUAAAUAAAUAAUUAAUAAUUAAUAAUUGAUUAUUCAACAAUUAUUGAAAAACUAACUAUCACUUAUACAAAAUCUGAUUGUUACUUUUUUUUAAUUAUUAAUUAAUUAAAUAAUUAUUUAAAUUUAAUUAAAUAAUUAUUUAUUUAAUUAUUAAUUAAAUAAAUGAUUUUAAUUUUUAAAUAAUUGUUUUCAACAUUGGAUUUUAAAUCAAGUUCUUAAUAUAAAAACUGAUUUAUGGAUUUUCCAAUAUUUUCUUAAUUAAUUAUUAAUUAUUAGUUAAUUAAAUUAAUAAUUAAUUAAUAAUUAAUAAUUGAUUAUUCAACAAUUAUUGAAAAACUAACUAACAAUCACACUUAUACAAAAUCUGAUUGUUACUUUUUUAUAAUUAUUAAUUAAUUAAAUAAUUAUUUAAAUUUAAUUAAAUAAUUAUUAAUUAAAUAAAUGAUUUUAAUUUUUAAAUAAUUGUUUUCAACAUUGGAUUUUAAAUCAAGUUCUUAAUAUAAAAACUGAUUUAUGGAUUUUCCAAUAUUUUCUUAAUUAAUUAUUAAUUAUUAGUUAAUUAAAUAAAUAAUUAAUUAAUAAUUAAUAAUUGAUUAUUCAACAAUUAUUGAAAAACUAACUAACAAUCACACUUAUACAAAAUCUGAUUGUUACUUUUUUUUAAUUAUUAAUUAAUUAAAUAAUUAUUUAAAUUUAAUUAAAUAAUUAUUUAUUUAAUUAUUAAUUAAAUAAAAAUAUUACCAUCCAAACCUAACCCUAACAUGGCAUUUCUAAACAUUACCAUCCUAACCCUAACCCUAACAUGGUAUUUCUAAACAUUACAAUCACAUAGAAAAUUACAAUCACAUUAUUCAAUAUGGCAUUUCUAAACAUGGCAUUUCUAAACAUGCAUUUCAUUUUAUGGCAUUCCAAUCUACAAUCCUAACCCUAAUUUCUAAAUUAACAUGCAUUUCAUUUCAUGGCCUACCAAUCUACAUAUAUAAAAUUUCUAAACAUGCAUUUCAUUUUAUGGCAUUCUAAUCUACAAUCCUAACCUUAACCCUAAUUUCUAAACAUGCAUUUCAUUUUUUAAUGUCUAACAUCAUCAAUUGAACUAAUGUCCGCAAAUUUAAUGCCAAAAAUUUAAAAUUCAUAAAUUAUUACAUUGAUGAACCGCAAAUGAUUUUCAAUUAUCCGCAACAAAAAUUCUUCAAAUUCCAGCAACCCUAAAAAAAAAAUUUCCAGCAAAAAUUUACUUUUAAUUUAAAUUCCAGCAUCCAUAUUAACCAUUAAAUUAAAAUUCCAGCAACAAAAUUAAAAAAAAAUUCCAGCAACAAAAAAAAAUAAAAAUUCCAGCAACCAUUAUCUUCAAAUUAUAAUUCCAACAACCAUACAUUAACCCUUAAAUUCAUAUUCCAGGAAACAAAAAAAAAUCACAAAUCAUAAACCUCCAAAUCACAAAUCAAAAGACAAAUCACAAUGCAUGAAAAGUUUGAUUUAAAAUUGGAAAGUAACCCCAUAUAAAAAACCACCAAAUCAUAAACCCCCAAAUCAAAAACAACAAAAAAAUAAGAGAACAAGAUGAAAAUAAUGUAAACCAUACCUUGAAGAUAAUUUCGACAAUGACCGGAGAGAAGUGGCCGGCCGGAUUAGAAGAAGGUAACUAUAUAA
rnacentral:lncRNA from 1 species